AUUGAACGCUGGCGGCAUGCCUUACACAUGCAAGUCGAACGGUAGGGGGGCAACCCCUGAGAGUGGCGAACGGGUGAGUAAUGCAUCGGAACGUGCCCAGUUGUGGGGGAUAACGUAGCGAAAGCUACGCUAAUACCGCAUACGACCUGAGGGUGAAAGGGGGGGAUGGCAAGACCUCUCGCAAUUGAAGCGGCCGAUGUCAGAUUAGCUAGUUGGUGGGGUAAAAGCCUACCAAGGCGACGAUCUGUAGCUGGUCUGAGAGGACGACCAGCCACACUGGGACUGAGACACGGCCCAGACUCCUACGGGAGGCAGCAGUGGGGAAUUUUGGACAAUGGACGCAAGUCUGAUCCAGCCAUGCCGCGUGCAGGAAGAAGGCCUUCGGGUUGUAAACUGCUUUUGUCAGGGAAGAAAUCCCUUGGGAUAAUACCUCGGGGGGAUGACGGUACCUGAAGAAUAAGCACCGGCUAACUACGUGCCAGCAGCCGCGGUAAUAC
rnacentral:rRNA from 1 species